UUAAAUGCAGUCGAACGGCAGCACGGGGGCAACCCUGGUGGCGAGUGGCGAACGGGUGAGUAAUACAUCGGAACGUGUCCUGUAGUGGGGGAUAGCCCGGCGAAAGCCGGAUUAAUACCGCAUACGCUCUACGGAGGAAAGGGGGGGAUCUUAGGACCUCUCGCUACAGGGGCGGCCGAUGGCAGAUUAGCUAGUUGGUGGGGUAAAGGCCUACCAAGGCGACGAUCUGUAGCUGGUCUGAGAGGACGACCAGCCACACUGGGACUGAGACACGGCCCAGACUCCUACGGGAGGCAGCAGUGGGGAAUUUUGGACAAUGGGGGCAACCCUGAUCCAGCAAUGCCGCGUGUGUGAAGAAGGCCUUCGGGUUGUAAAGCACUUUUGUCCGGAAAGAAAACUUCUGCCCUAAUACGGCGGGAGGAUGACGGUACCGGAAGAAUAAGCACCGGC
rnacentral:rRNA from 2 species